GACUACCUCAUUAAACUUGUCAAACCAUGCAUGGGGACUCUGCUUCAAACUAUACAAAGAUUUCUCCAGAUGACAGAAUUUCAUGUACUCUUCCUGAGCAACAAACCAAGAACUGCCCGAAAUCAUGUUGGAGAGUAGAUGAUCGCUUAUUGUUGCGAGAUUUGCUUUGCUGUGACUUUCUCCUCUCCAACCAUCUAGUUUCGUGCUCAAAAUCGGUCGACCGUGCUCUUCUGCGACUUCUGUCUUUGUACGGGAAAACAACACGACGAGAAUACCCUCCUCCGACGAACUCGACGCACACAGCCUCAAACUCCCUCCUCUGCUUCUCCCGCAUACACCACCGUGCUGGCUGCACUCUGAACUGCUUGGAGAUUGAUGGUCGACUUCCUCCAUCGCCAAAAAUGGGUUGUUCAAACAUUCUUUUGUUCUGACGUAAUCUAACCCCUAAAAUUCUAACCCUAAAUUUAGCUAUGAUACCGUGUAAGAGUUAGGAAAAAAAUAUUGAAUAUUUACUUGUGUUUUAUUGAAAUCAGAAUAAAGAUAUAUACAUGUA